UGUUCCUCAUAUAUUGAAUUAUUUAUUUACAUUUCACUCCAGAGAUAGCUUUUAUACCUGCUAAAAUUAAAGUCCACAGUUGCAUUAGGGCGGCUGUCACUCUGUCCAUCAAUUUUCCUGGAGUCACCUGAGUGCUGUGCAGAGACUGGCCUCCCCCCAGCAUCCUCACAUCUCAGGACAUCACGUCAGAGGAGCAGCAGGAAACACAAAACCUGCUGCCUCCAUCUGAACACGCCUCAAGCCUGGUCGGUCUAGGCUUCUACAGGAUGAAGGAGUCGCUGCAAAUUGUCACUGCGCCAGCCCACAAUCAGCCCGCCGAAGCCCCCUGAAGCAAAGCUGCCCAGCUGGCCAGCAGCUGACCACAGACAGUUUACAGGUGUAAACCAAACUAUGGGAAUUGGGGCAAGUUCCCAGGAGAGCGAAUAGAGUGAGAAGGGACACGGCCCAUGACAGAGCCCAGAGGUCAUCAACAAUCAAAGGACACAUAAGAGACAAAGAGCAGCU